rnacentral:rRNA from 1 species
UAGGGAAUCUUCGGCAAUGGGGGCAACCCUGACCGAGCAACGCCGCGUGAGUGAAGAAGGUUUUCGGAUCGUAAAGCUCUGUUGUAAGAGAAGAACGUGUGUGAGAGUGGAAAGUUCACACCGUGACGGUAACUUACCAGAAAGGGACGGCUAACUACGUGCCAGCAGCCGCGGUAAUACGUAGGUCCCGAGCGUUGUCCGGAUUUAUUGGGCGUAAAGCGAGCGCAGGCGGUUUAAUAAGUCUGAAGUUAAAGGCAGUGGCUUAACCAUUGUUCGCUUUGGAAACUGUUAAACUUGAGUGCAGAAGGGGAGAGUGGAAUUCCAUGUGUAGCGGUGAAAUGCGUAGAUAUAUGGAGGAACACCGGUGGCGAAAGCGGCUCUCUGGUCUGUAACUGACGCUGAGGCUCGAAAGCGUGGGGAGCAAACAGG